GGUUGUGGCUCAGUGGUACAGUGCUUGCCUAGCAUGUGGGAGGCACUGGGUUUGAUUCUCAGCACCA
rnacentral:tRNA from 1 species